rnacentral:rRNA from 1 species
GACGAACGCUGGCGGCGUGCUUAACACAUGCAAGUCGAACGCUGAAGACCUGGCUUUUGUUGGGUUGGAUGAGUGGCGAACGGGUGAGUAACACGUGAGUAACCUGCCCUCUUCUUUGGGAUAACGCCCGGAAACGGGUGCUAAUACUGGAUAUUCACUGAUCUUCGCAUGGGGGUUGGUGGAAAGGUUUGUUCUGGUGGGGGAUGGGCUCGCGGCCUAUCAGCUUGUUGGUGGGGUGAUGGCCUACCAAGGCUUUGACGGGUAGCCGGCCUGAGAGGGUGACCGGUCACAGUGGGACUGAGGUACGGCCCAGACUCCUACGGGAGGCAGCAGUGGGGAAUAUAGCACAAUGGGCGAAAGCCUGAUGCAGCGACGCCGCGUGAGGGAGGGAGGCCUUCGGGUUGUAAACCUCUUUCGCUCAUGGUCAAGCCACAACUGUGGGUUGUGGUGAGGGUAGUGGGUAAAGAAGCGCCGGCUAACUACGUG